GUCUAGUAUAAGCAAUCUAUACAGUGAAACUGCGAAUGGCUCAUUAAAUCAGUUAUCGUUUAUUUGAUAGUACCUUACUACUUGGAUAACCGUGGUAAUUCUAGAGCUAAUACAUGCUAAAAACCUCGACUUCGGAAGGGGUGUAUUUAUUAGAUAAAAAACCAAUGCCCUUCGGGGCUCCUUGGUGAUUCAUGAUAACUUAACGAAUCGCAUGGCCUUGUGCCGGCGAUGGUUCAUUCAAAUUUCUGCCCUAUCAACUUUCGAUGGUAGGAUAGUGGCCUACCAUGGUUUCAACGGGUAACGGGGAAUUAGGGUUCUAUUCCGGAGAGGGAGCCUGAGAAACGGCUACCACAUCCAAGGAAGGCAGCAGGCGCGCAAAUUACCCAAUCCCGACACGGGGAGGUAGUGACAAUAAAUACUGAUACAGGGCUCUUUUGGGUCUUGUAAUUGGAAUGAGUACAAUUUAAAUCCCUUAACGAGGAACAAUUGGAGGGCAAGUCUGGUGCCAGCAGCCGCGGUAAUUCCAGCUCCAAUAGCGUAUAUUAAAGUUGUUGCAGUUAAAAAGCUCGUAGUUGAACCUUGGGCCUGGCUGGCCGGUCCGCCUCACCGCGUGCACUGGUCCGGCCGGGCCUUUCCUCCUGGGGAGCCGCAUGCCCUUCACUGGGUGUGUCGGGGAACCAGGACUUUUACUUUGAAAAAAUUAGAGUGUUCAAAGCAGGCCUAUGCUCGAAUACAUUAGCAUGGAAUAAUAGAAUAGGACGUGUGGUUCUAUUUUGUUGGUUUCUAGGACCGCCGUAAUGAUUAAUAGGGAUAGUCGGGGGCAUCAGUAUUCAAUUGUCAGAGGUGAAAUUCUUGGAUUUAUUGAAGACUAACUACUGCGAAAGCAUUUGCCAAGGAUGUUUUCAUUAAUCAGUGAACGAAAGUUAGGGAUCGAAGACGAUCAGAUACCGUCGUAGUCUUAACCAUAAACUAUGCCGACUAGGGAUCGGGCGAUGU
rnacentral:rRNA from 1 species